GGAUGACAACACUGAUCCACUGAGAGGAUCUAUGCAGCAGACAUCAGAUGAACAUAAAUCAUCACUGAGAUCAGUUCUUAAUACAAGCAACAACCUACUAUCGCUAUGAUAUAGAACCUUUCGAGGAGUGCCGCCAAAAUGAAAUUUCUGCACAUUAAGCCGUUUACUAGGCACCAUUUCCACCAAAUGAAGACUGUUUUCAGCAACAAAGAUAAUUCCCUUGGGACAUUCAGUUGAACAGACUGGAGUAACAUGUGUGGAAGGUGGAAAAGAUAUUGAAG
rnacentral:misc_RNA from 1 species